GAAUCGCCCCGACCCGUUGAGACCUUGUGGCGAAGAAAAGACGCAUCCAAAGGCCAAAGCCUUAAAAAACCAUUCACGCAUAUCGCAUUUGUAGUCUGCACGCUAGGUUGCUUCCAGAAAAGCCACACUGCCCACACACGCCUCUCUUUUCCUGCCUUUCACUGUCUAUCUCUCAAAACCCUAGCAACUCUUGUGCCAUGGAUAUUGAGGAGGAGAUUCGCUCAUUGCAGCUUGACUCUGCAGAAGAGAAUAAUGGAGUGAUUAAGGCAGAAGAUGCGAAGACGGAAGAAGUAGAGAAGUUGGAUAGAAUGGAGGAAGAUUCCAAAGAUGAUGUUAAUCUGAACUCUACAGAAGUGCAGGCUGAGUCAAAAGUGAAAGAUAAGGAAGUAUCUGCACUGGUAGAUGUUGAAACGCCAGACGAGAUGGAAGAAGACAAUAGGAAGCGGCACCUGAAUGUGGUUUCUAUUGGCCAUGUUGAUGCUGGCAAGUCCACAAUUGGAGGUCAGAUACUUUUGCUCAGUGGUCAGGUUGAUGAUCGUACAAUCCAAAAAUAUGAGAAAGAAGCUAAGGAAAAGAGUAGAGAAAGCUGGUACAUGGCAUAUAUUAUGGAUACUAAUGAAGAGGAAAGGAUUAAGGGUAUAACAGUUGAAGUUGGAAGAGCACAUUUUGAAACAGAGACAACUAGAUUUACAAUUUUAGAUGCACCAGGUCACAAGAGUUAUGUUCCUAAUAUGAUUAGUGGAGCAUCUCAAGCUGAUAUUGGUAUAUUGGUGAUUGCUGCUCGGAAAGGAGAAUUUGAAACUGGGUAUGAGAGAGGUGGGCAGACCCGUGAGCAUGUUCAGCUGGCAAAGACAUUGGGGGUGUCUAAGCUUCUUGUUGUUGUAAAUAAAAUGGAUGAUCCCACUGUAAACUGGUCAAAGGAAAGGUAUGAUGAAAUUGAAGCAAAGAUGAUACCAUUUCUGAGGUCUUCAGGCUACAAUGUGAAGAAAGAUGUCCAGUUCCUGCCAAUAUCUGGUUUGCUUGGUGCAAACAUGAAAACCAGAGUGGAAAAAAGCGUGUGUCCAUGGUGGAAUGGCCCCUGUCUUUUCGAAGCUCUUGAUGCCAUUGAAGUUCCUCCACGGGAUCCAAAAGGUCCUUUCAGGAUGCCUAUUAUUGACAAAUUUAAAGAUAUGGGAACUGUAGUCAUGGGCAGAGCAGAAUCUGGUACUGUGACUGAGGGUGAUUCCUUGCUGGUCAUGCCAAAUAAGACUCGGGUGAAAGUUGUUGCUGUAUAUUGUGAUGAAAACAAAGUUAGACGUGCAGGGCCUGGAGAAAAUCUUCGUGUUAGGUUAUCUGGGAUUGAUGACGAGGAUAUAUUGGCAGGUUUUGUCAUGUCUAGUGUUGCAAAGCCAAUAGCCUCGGUUACAGAAUUUGUUGCUCAGUUGCAGAUCCUCGAAUUGCUGGACAAUGCAAUUUUUACAGCUGGCUAUAAAGCUGUUUUGCAUAUUCAUUCUGUAGUUGAGGAAUGUGAGAUUGUUGAACUACUAAAACAAAUUGAUCCGAAGACAAAGAAACCUAUGAAAAAGAAAGUUCUCUUUGUGAAGAAUGGUGCUGUUAUUGUGUGCCGCGUUCAGGUAAAUAACUUGAUAUGCAUUGAGAAGUUUACAGAUUUUCCUCAACUCGGCAGGUUUACUCUUCGUACUGAGGGGAAAACGGUUGCAGUGGGGAAAGUGAUUGACCUUUCUUCUGGUUCUACUUUUUAAACAGUUUUGGCGUUACAGUAAAUUGUGGACCAUUCCGGUAUUUAAUACCUAUGCUUAAACCCUGCUUCCCAACCUACCCAACAUUUAAGUCAGGUUUUUCAUUGCUGAGUAAAAAAGAAUAGCUUUUCUUUAUUGUGUACUUUGAGUGCCAGCACACACAUCUCGUACAAAUAUAUGGAUUCAGAUAAUUUUGCCGGUUCACUGCUCGUCUAGUGGUUGUAUGGAGAGUUGGUUAUUUUUGUUGCUGGUCGGUGUUCACAAAAUCCUGUUUUCUCAGGCAUUUAUGCUUGCAGAAUUCAGAUGUAUGAAUGUAGAGUAAUUAUACCCCCUAACUCAAUGGGUGAUGGUAUUAAUCAGUUUAUCUAUUCAAGCUUCUUCAAUAUGGUUUAAUUUUAGUGACAUGAUUACCUGAGUUUUGAAUGUAGCCGGGCACUAGAUAAGUGCCCGUUAAAAGUGUAUAAUUGGUUUCAAUUAUCGUUUUUGUUUUGAUUUUGCCAA